CCUACGGGAGGCUGCAGUGAGGAAUAUUGGUCAAUGGACGAGAGUCUGAACCAGCCAAGUAGCGUGAAGGAUGACUGCCCUAUGGGUUGUAAACUUCUUUUAUAUGGGAAUAAAAUGUUCCACGUGUGGGAUUUUGUAUGUACCAUAUGAAUAAGGAUCGACUAACUCCGUGCCAGCAGCCGCGGUAAUACGGAGGAUCCGAGCGUUAUCCGGAUUUAUUGGGUUUAAAGGGAGCGUAGGUGGGUUGUUAAGUCAGUUGUGAAAGUUUGCGGCUCAACCGUAAAAUUGCAGUUGAAACUGGAAGUCUUGAGUACAGUAGAGGUGGGCGGAAUUAGUGGUGUAGCGGUGAAAUGCUUAGAUAUCACGAAGAACUCCGAUUGCGAAGGCAGCUCACUGGACUGCAACUGACACUGAGGCUCGAAAGUGUGGGUAUCAAACAGGAUUAGAUACCCGUGUAGUC
rnacentral:rRNA from 1 species